rnacentral:rRNA from 1 species
UACAGAGGGUGCGAGCGUUGUCCGGAAUCACUGGGCGUAAAGGGCGCGUAGGUGGCGACCCAAGUCCAUGGUGAAAGCUCGAUGCUUAACAUCGAGUCGGCCACGGAUACUGGGUUGCUGGAGCACUGUAGAGGCAGAUGGAAUUCCGGGUGUAGCGGUGGAAUGCGUAGAGAUCCGGAAGAACACCGGUGGCGAAGGCGGCUCUCUGGGACGGUACUGACGCUGAGACGCGAAAGCGUGGGGAGCGAACAGG